AUGUUUGCUUCUGCAGCGGUUUCGUGUUGAUCCUCAGAUCAGAUAUUCUGCAUUAUGUGCUGUAGUAAACUGGCGCUCUAGUCUCAGAAAUCUCAAUCCACCAGUUUCUGCAGUGCUGGACUUGUUAUCUGUGUGUUUACAAUUUUGAUAACAACCGGCAAUGGUUAUUGUCAUCAUUCUCAUAGUAAAAACACCGCUAUUUGUUUUGCAUGAUACUAUUAAAAUGCAGGGAGAGAUCAGUGUGUUCCCGCUUACUUGAUCCUGCAGUUUUAAAACGAAAGCCAACGUUAAUAGAAAUCGAAAGUGAUUACAGCCAGUCUCGGAAGAGCAUCUUUGCAGCGCGCCUUUGCAUCUAUCCUUUUGGAGACGCCAUGUUUUUCGAUCUGCACAAUAAACUAUAAACUACAGCAUUAGCUAAACGUGUUUAUUUUAGUUCAUGUUGUGUAGUCUAUCACCCAGGAACCCCUGUAACUCGAGCCGCGGAACGGUUUGCUCAACUCGUUUCUGAAACUAACAAGUUCUACAAGAAGAUGGCGUCGAGUGGAACCAGUCUCAGUACAACAGAGGAUAGAGAUGUCAGAACGCAGAAGGCGGCCAGCUGUCUGAUCAGCCUCCUGGUGGAAAAGAGGCGUGCUGCUUGUGGGAAAUUCAUCUCCAAACUCGCAGAGAGGGACCCCUAUCUCUACAGGACUCUUGGGCUGCAUUGUGACAGUGAGUACCUCACUUAUUAUCCCCACUGCACUGGGUAUGCUGAUCCCCAGCAGGAUAUAGUGGAAGUGCCUGGACAUACAUCACAGUCUGUCACACCUCACAGUUUUACAGAAGCGC